GACGAACGCUGGCGGCGUGCUUAACACAUGCAAGUCGAACGGAAAGGCCCUGCUUUUGUGGGGUGCUCGAGUGGCGAACGGGUGAGUAACACGUGAGUAACCUGCCCUUGACUUUGGGAUAACUUCAGGAAACUGGGGCUAAUACCGGAUAGGAGCUCCUGCUGCAUGGUGGGGGUUGGAAAGUUUCGGCGGUUGGGGAUGGACUCGCGGCUUAUCAGCUUGUUGGUGGGGUAGUGGCUUACCAAGGCUUUGACGGGUAGCCGGCCUGAGAGGGUGACCGGCCACAUUGGGACUGAGAUACGGCCAAGACUGCUACGUGAGGCAGCAGUGGGGAAUAUUGCACAAUGGGCGGAAGCCGGAUGCAGCAACGCCGGGUGCGAGAUGACUGCCUUCGGGUUGUAAACCGCGUUCGCCUGUGACGAAGCGUGAGUGACGGUAAUGAGUAAAGAAGCAACGGCUAACUACGUG
rnacentral:rRNA from 1 species